GAAUUUGAAAUAAUACAAUUGUAAGGAAUCCAGCAUCUUAACAGUUCUAUAUUACCAUCUUUUUUUUCCCUUUGCUGAGUUUAUCAUAUAACUUAAUUUCUAAAUAUUAUCUAAUCUUAUCAAUCACUGAUUUUCUAUUUUAUUAGCAAUUCUACAUCCAAAAUUAACAUGCACAGAUGAUUGAUGAACAAAAAGAUCAAGGCAAUUCCUACCCACUCUAAAAAUUCAAUGCGACUGCUAUAUUAAUUUGCCUUUUUUGCCUUUUAUUUCUUCAUCAACUUUGACACAACUUUUCACCUAAUUUCCAUUGAUUCAACACCUAACUAGUAGAUUCUUGGUAGAUUCUCUCAAACAUAGUUAUCAUCAAAUUCAACAAUGAAGAAUUGAAGAAUUAAUCUAUCAACUUCAAGUUGC
rnacentral:misc_RNA from 1 species